rnacentral:lncRNA from 1 species
CCGACUUUAACUGCACAAGGACAGAAGGAGAAGCACAUAUUAUGAGGUGGCAGUGGACAUGUGGGAAUUUGAAAGAAAGUGCUUCAGACUAUUUUUAAACUGAAAUGUAUCCCACUGGGACCGCAAUUGCCCAGUGCCGACUAUUCAUAAAUCAGGGUGAACACAAAGAGGCUUCACAUUUUGUGGGUCUGGCCGAAGAGAAAGAUCUGGGAAAGGAAGGAGAAUCACAGAUUUAGUUGAGUGAGAAUGCAUCAGAGCCCAUCUGACUUUUCUCUGUGUUUUGUGUUUUUUUUCUUUUCCCCCCUCAUUCUUGAAAAGAUUUUUCUGUCUUGGAGAAAAUGCAUUAAACAUAAUGCUGAUAGUACCUUUGGUAAAAUAUUCCAAAUGUUAUAAAAGUCUGUUGGACCUUAUUAAAUAAGUCUAUAUUACACUUAUUUUUAAUAUUGUGGUGCACACUCAGUAUUUGUUCUGAUCAUUCCCAGCAGAGAUUUAUUACUAAAGUAGAUCUGACUUGAGGUUGAGUGGAAAGGAAGGCAGUCAGUGCAGGAGGAAUAUUGAGUAACUUGGUGGUGUGAGAGAGUUUGGCUGCAGCAGAGAAAAAGGGAGCUUGUGAGAUGUGCAUGCCAAUUAAGGUGCUCAAGAAAUGAACAUGUAUUCAUUUCGAGUACACGCUAGCCCCUUCCUCUUCAUAUGUCCCUAGGGAUGCUUCUGGAAUUGCCAGAGCUGAAAAUUAAAUUAUAAACCUAAAACAUGACAUUGAAAAUGUAAUGUCUCCUUUGA